UCUGUGGUGCGCCGGGUGUACCUGUACAGCCCAUCACGUGGCCUUUUUUUAAAAACAAUGAAAACUGGUUCUUUUGGUUAACCAGUUAAACUAAGGAAAAUAAAAACUCCCGCUCGUUCAAAACCUAGGCUGCACACAGAUCGAUUUCGUCUAUCUCCUCCUCCAUAGCUUUGCACAGCCACAGCUCUAUUUCGGUGAAUUCAUAGCUGCACAGCUUCCUACAGCCUGAAGAAGCUCCCCCCACUUCGUCUUCUCCAUCUGAGGAGCAGAUUUCAGCCAAAACCCAGAAACCCACUUCGUCUUCUCCAGCUGCUUCCUCCAUCUCGUUAUGGAAGCUCAAAAAAGGGGAUCAACAAAAGGAAAGCGCAAAGUCGACAGUAAUGUGCAACAAUCAAGAGUUGGCCAGGAUGCAUUUUUUAAUUUCAUGUAAGUUACACGUACAUCUAAAAAUCGAAAAUGUAGUUGCUUAAUAUUAUGAUGGUUUUUUGAUUAAAAAUAAAUGAUUUACAAAAAAAAAAAAAA